rnacentral:rRNA from 1 species
GACGAACGCUGGCGGCGUGCUUAACACAUGCAAGUCGAACGGAAAGGCCCCUUUGGGGGUACUCGAGUGGCGAACGGGUGAGUAAAACGUGAGUAACCUGCCCCUGACUUCGGGAUAACUUCAGGAAACUGGGGCUAAUACCGGAUAGGAAUCCUUGCUGCAAGGGGGGGGUUGGAAAGCUUCGGCGGGUUUUGAUGGGCUCGCGGCUUAUCUGCUUGUUGGUGGGGUAGUGGCUUACCAAGGCUUUGACGGGUAGCCGGCCUGGGGGGGCGACCGGCCACAUUGGGUCUGAGGUGCGGCCCAGACUCCUACGGGAGGCAACAGUGGGGAAUAUUGCACGAUGGGCGGAAGCCUGGUGCAGCAGCGCCGCGUGCGGGAUGACGGCCUUCGGGGUGUAAACCGCUUUCAGCAGGGGCGAAGCUUGUGGUGACGGUACCUGCAGAAGAAGCACCGGCUAACUACGUG